rnacentral:lncRNA from 1 species
UUCCAAGUGCUUCUUCAUACCAUUUAUGUUGCUACCUCCAUCUACACAUUCAAGAAUUGAUGAUAAUGACCAUUGUCUCUAACUUUCAAGAUGUCUUUCUCACACAUACGAGGCCAUCCACAGCUGCAGGUGGGAGCCUACCACAGACAGUUUUCUCAAUCUCAUAAAUAGGGUCCAAUGUGUGAUCUCCAAAGUGAAUUUCAAUACAAAAUAAAUGGCAAAAUGCAACUUCCUCAAAUUUAAUCAGAGUUAAAUAAUACUAUUUGCUAAAGCUGAACUAUUUUGUUUUCAUCUACUUUAAAUAAUCUGUGAAGUUACACAUGAUUUUAAUGAUAAAUCUUAAAAUUAAGGUUACCUUGAAUGAGUUUUUCUAGACAAAACCAGAUUACAAGAAUGCAAUACCCAAUAUAUUCUUUUCCUUAUACACAACACACACACACAGAGAAAGAGAGAGAGAGAGAGA